ACGCUUUAGCAGCUUAAUAACCUGCUCUGAGCCCUCUCUCCCUAGCUUCCGCUCUUAAGACGGGGAUCAAAGAGAGGUCAAACCCAAAAGAGAUCGCGUGGAUGCCCUGCCUGGGGUUGAAGCGUUAAAUCUAAUCAGGCUAGUUUGUUAGUGGCGUGUCUGUCCGCAGCUGGCAAGCGAAUGUAAAGACUGACUAAGCAUGUAGUGCCGAGGAUGUAGGAAUUUCGGACGCGGGUUCAACUCCCGCCAGCUCCACCA
rnacentral:tmRNA from 1 species